ACAGAGGUCUCAAGCGUUGUUCGGAUUCAUUGGGCGUAAAGGGUGCGUAGGCGGCGCGGUAAGUCGGGUGUGAAAUCUCGGAGCUUAACUCCGAAACUGCAUUCGAUACUGCCGUGCUUGAGGACUGGAGAGGAGACUGGAAUUUACGGUGUAGCGGUGAAAUGCGUAGAUAUCGUAAGGAAGACCAGUGGCGAAGGCGGGUCUCUGGACAGUUCCUGACGCUGAGACGCGAAAGCGUGGGGAGCGAACCGGA
rnacentral:rRNA from 1 species